rnacentral:rRNA from 1 species
GCAGGCUACACAUGCAGUCGAGCGGUAACAGGGGUAGCUUGCUACCCGCUGACGAGCGGCGGACGGGUGAGUAAUGCAUAGGAAUUUACCCGAUAGUGGGGGAUAACCUGGGGAAACCCAGGCUAAUACCGCAUACGUCCUACGGGAGAAAGGGGGCUUUGGCUCCCGCUAUCGGAUGAGCCUAUGCCGGAUUAGCUGGUUGGUGAGGUAAUGGCUCACCAAGGCGACGAUCCGUAGCUGGUCUGAGAGGAUGAUCAGCCACAUCGGGACUGAGACACGGCCCGAACUCCUACGGGAGGCAGCAGUGGGGAAUAUUGGACAAUGGGCGCAAGCCUGAUCCAGCCAUGCCGCGUGUGUGAAGAAGGCCCUCGGGUUGUAAAGCACUUUCAGCGAGGAAGAACGCCUGGCGGUUAAUACCCGCCAGGAAAGACAUCACUCGCAGAAGAAGCACCGGCUAACUCCGUGCCAGCAGCCGCGGUAAUACGGAGGGUGCAAGCGUUAAUCGGAAUUACUGGGCGUAAAGCGCGCGUAGGUGGCUUGAUAAGCCGGUUGUGAAAGCCCCGGGCUCAACCUGGGAACGGCAUCCGGAACUGUCAGGCUAGAGUGCAGGAGAGGAAGGUAGAAUUCCCGGUGUAGCGGUGAAAUGCGUAGAGAUCGGGAGGAAUACCAGUGGCGAAGGCGGCCUUCUGGACUGACACUGACACUGAGGUGCGAAAGCGUGGGUAGCAAACAGGAUUAGAUACCCUGGUAGUCCACGCCGUAAACGAUGUCGACCAGCCGUUGGGUGCCUAGCGCACUUUGUGGCGAAGUUAACGCGAUAAGUCGACCGCCUGGGGAGUACGGCCGCAAGGUUAAAACUCAAAUGAAUUGACGGGGGCCCGCACAAGCGGUGGAGCAUGUGGUUUAAUUCGAUGCAACGCGAAGAACCUUACCUACUCUUGACAUCCUGCGAAUUGGGUAGAGAUACCUGAGUGCCUUCGGGAACGCAGAGACAGGUGCUGCAUGGCUGUCGUCAGCUCGUGUUGUGAAAUGUUGGGGUUAAGUCCCGUACGAGCGCA